rnacentral:rRNA from 1 species
UACGUAGGGUGCAAGCGUUGUCCGGAAUUAUUGGGCGUAAAGAGCUCGUAGGCGGUUUGUCGCGUCUGCUGUGAAAUCUGGAGGCUCAACCUCCAGCCUGCAGUGGGUACGGGCAGACUAGAGUGCGGUAGGGGAGAUUGGAACUCCUGGUGUAGCGGUGGAAUGCGCAGAUAUCAGGAAGAACACCGAGUGGCGAAGGCAGAUCUCUGGGCCGUAACUGACGCUGGAGGAGCGGAAAGCAUGGGGAGCGAACAGG